rnacentral:rRNA from 1 species
GUCUACAGCCCAUGCCGCCCUGAGCAAUCCCUGAUCCUGUCUGAUCUCGGAAGAUAGGCAGGGUCGAGUCUAGUUAGUACUGGGAUGGGAGACCACCUAGGAAGACCAGGUACUGUAGGCA